AUUCCACGAAAACAUCAAAAAGUUUCGAUUAAAGUUUUGCUCAUAAAAAUCGUUACCUACCUACCUACCUAAGGGUCCAGCGCCGAUUGACCGGCGCAUAGGGCUGAGAUAAAAGAUCUCCACUGCUGGCGAUCCGGAGCCAGCGUCUUCACUUGCUGCCAGCCAAGGUUCUCGUCAACUGUGCGGAUUUCAGCGGCUACUUAAAAAAAUUCGCUUGGAACAAGUUUUUUGUAAAUCAGAGCCUGAAGAACACGGAGAAUCUACACAAAUGUCGAAUCAUGUGGAAAUUCUCGUAAAAGAAGAACUAAUCAUUGAACCAGAGGAAAUGCAACUCUCUGAACAACCCGAAGCGUUUCUGUGGCCGAAGUCAGAUGUACGGAUCCAACGUAAAUUGUGUAACGAGGAACAAGUAGCGUCUCCAAAACUGUUCAACCCGUUACGAUGUUCGUUUUGCUUCGAGGUACGAAUCGAGAAACAGAUAUGUCCCGAAUCAACCGACGACGAAAGCUUCAAAAAGUUGGCAGAAUUCGUACUAGCUAGACAGUUGGAUUUAUCUUACUUUCGGUGCUGCGUAAUUUGCUACAGGACAUUGGAGCAGUUUAGCGUUUUUAAACAAACAUGCCUCGAGUCGUUGGAUCGUUCGUUAGAGCUGUGGAAAGUUGAAUUAGAUUCUAAGGAUGAAGAACCCCAGCCGAACUCAUUUGAAACUGGCGAAACUGAAUUUAAUGCUAAGUGCUUGUCUUCGGAUCACCAUCUUGCCGGUCGGUCAAUCAAUGCAGAUAAGGCUAAUGAAGUUAGUGAAAGUGGCAGCCAACCUUCUUCAGAUAUUGAGAAAAAGGAAUCUCGCAAGCGCAAAAGAUCAUACAAAAUAAAGAAGACUUACACCUGCGAAAUUUGCUCCAAAAAAGUUCAGUUAAGAAGGAAAGAUGUACACCUCAAUAAACAUAAUGGUAUCAAAAGCAUACCGUGUAGUAACGAAGGCUGCGAUAAGAUGUUUUUGGGUUACAUAGAACGGAAUCGUCACAAAAGUCAAUGCCAGAUGAAAUCUGUGAAAGAAUACACUUGCCCCCACUGCGGCAAGGUGCUGAGAGGGUCUGGAAGCUAUAACGAUCAUCUGCAGCUUCACAGUGAUGUCUUCUACGAUUGCGAAGUUUGUGGGAAAAAAUUCAAAACGAAGGACCGGGUUUUAAAACACAGAUACUAUGUGCACUCGGAGGAGAGAAAGUUUGAAUGUCAAGUGUGCCAGAAGCGGUUUAAGUCCAGAGAAUCCUGUAGGGUGCAUCAGCGUACGCAUUCUGUCGAAAGACCUUACCAGUGCACGGCUUGCGAGAAACAAUUUAAGCAUAAUCGGUCGCUUAAGGCACAUUUUGAAAGCAAUCAUGGUUCGAAGUAGAGAAACUGGUCUUCUAUGCAAAAAAAAUGACGAUGGAUUUUUUCAACGAAACAAUCCCUAAAGAAGCACGGCCAGGUGCAUUCAGAGGAACGAAACAUCAAUGCGAGCUGUGCAAAAAUCGUUAUAAAUCCUGGUACGUCUAUCUGGUGCAUCAGCGUACCCACCCGAUCGAGAAACCCUACAAGUGCACGAUAUGCGCGGAACGGUUAAUUUAUCGUGGGGUGCUCAAGUCUCAUCUGGAGUGCAAUCGUGGUUUGAAGUAGGGAAACUGUUAGAAGAUCCGUUGGAAGCAACAUAAAUUUGUUGGCGCCAUCAACAUGAGGAUCAACCAGCUGGAUGGACAAAUGGAAAUGUAGUAAGUAACAAUCCUAUUUUAUUUAUUUGGGAAUGAUCAGCUCUCGUCUUUUUGGCAUCGUACUAAUGUACAUAUAUCUGUUUUCCUUUCCUAUUUCUUACGACCCAAAACGGAGGAUACCAAAUAGUUAACUCAUAGUAAAGUUGAUACCUGAGCUUAA